rnacentral:rRNA from 1 species
AACGAACGCUGGCGGCAGGCUUAACACAUGCCAGUCGAACGCCCCGCAAGGGGAGUGGCCGACGGGUGAGUAACGCGUGGGAACAUACCCUUUCCUGCGGAAUAGCUCCGGGAAACUGGAAUUAAUACCGCAUACGCCCUACGGGGGAAAGAUUUAUCGGGGAAGGAUUGGCCCGCGUUGGAUUAGCUAGUUGGUGGGGUAAAGGCCUACCAAGGCGACGAUCCAUAGCUGGUCUGAGAGGAUGAUCAGCCACAUUGGGACUGAGACACGGCCCAAACUCCUACGGGAGGCAGCAGUGGGGAAUAUUGGACAAUGGGCGCAAGCCUGAUCCAGCCAUGCCGCGUGAGUGAUGAAGGCCUUAGGGUUGUAAAGCUCUUUCACCGAUGAAGAUAAUGACGGUAGUCGGAGAAGAAGCCCCGGCUAACUUCGUG